GGCGUGGCGUAGUGGUUUGAGUGUUGGACUACGACUCUGGAGACCAGAGUUCGAGUCCUGCUCGGCCA
rnacentral:tRNA from 1 species